rnacentral:sRNA from 1 species
UCGUCGAUCUGCUGGGGGGCGAUGAAGUGGAUAUGCGCGUCGAUGCCGCCGGCGGUGACGAUCUUGCCCUCGCCCGCGAUCACCUCCGUGCCGGGGCCGACCACGACCGUGACGCCGGGCUGCGUGUCGGGAUUGCCGGCCUUGCCGAUGACCGCGAUCCGCCCGUCGCGCAGGCCGAUAUCGGCCUUGUAGAUGCCGGUAUGGUCGAGGAUCAGCGCGUUCGUGAUGACGGUAUCGACCGCACCCUCGGCCCGGCUCGCCUGGCUCUGGCCCAUGCCGUCGCGA